rnacentral:rRNA from 1 species
GACGAACGCUGGCGGCGUGCUUGACACAUGCAAGUCGAACGGAAAGGCCUGCUUUCCCUUGUGGAUUGCGGGUACUCGAGUGGCCAACGGGUGAGUAACACGUGAGUGAUCUGCCCCCAACUUGGGUAUAAGCCUGGGAAACUGGGUCUAAUUCCCGAUAGGACUGCAGUGUGGUGCCUGUGGUGGAAAACGAUUUUCUAGUGGUUGGGGAUGAGCUCGCGGCCUAUCAGCUUGUUGGUGGGGUACUGGCCUACCAAGGCGGCGACGGGUAGCCGGCCUGGGAGGGUGGCCGGCGACAUUUGGACUGCGGUACCGCGCAGAUUCCUACGGGAGGCAGGAGGGGGGGAUAUUGGUCAACGCGUGGAAGCCUGAGGCCGUGACGCCGGGUGGGGAAUGUCGGCUUUGGGGGGGUAACCUUCGUGCGAUCGCGGGAUAGCCCCCUGGCUGGAAGGGGGGUGACGGUAGUUGUAGAAGAAGCACCGGCUAACUACGUG